CUAAACCACAAGGGGAGCCAUUUGGCUGAGAGUGAAUAGAAUAGCUAUUCUUACCCUCUGAACCUGUUAGUUAGUACUAACGUAGGGAUGUGGCACGAUGAAAAA
rnacentral:ncRNA from 2 species